rnacentral:rRNA from 1 species
GAAUUCGCCCUUAGAGUUUGAUCCUGGCUCAGGACGAACGCUGGCGGCGCGCCUAACACAUGCAAGUCGAACGGAGCUUAGAGAGCUUGCUUUUUAAGCUUAGUGGCGAACGGGUGAGUAACGCGUGAGUAACCUGCCCUAGAGUGGGGGACAACAGUUGGAAACGACUGCUAAUACCGCAUAAGCCCACGGUGCCGCAUGACACUGAGGGAAAAGGAUUUAUUCGCUUUAGGAUGGACUCGCGUCCAAUUAGCUAGUUGGUGAGGUAACGGCCCACCAAGGCGACGAUUGGUAGCCGGACUGAGAGGUUGAACGGCCACAUUGGGACUGAGACACGGCCCAGACUCCUACGGGAGGCAGCAGUGGGGGAUAUUGCACAAUGGGGGAAACCCUGAUGCAGCGACGCCGCGUGGAGGAAGAAGGUUUUCGGAUUGUAAACUCCUGUCGUUAGGGACGAUAAUGACGGUACCUAACAAGAAAGCACCGGCUAACUACGUGCCAGCAGCCGCGGUAAAACGUAGGGUGCAAGCGUUGUCCGGAAUUACUGGGUGUAAAGGGAGCGCAGGCGGGAAGACAAGUUGGAAGUGAAAACCAUGGGCUCAACCCAUGAAUUGCUUUCAAAACUGUUUUUCUUGAGUAGUGCAGAGGUAGAUGGAAUUCCCGGUGUAGCGGUGGAAUGCGUAGAUAUCGGGAGGAACACCAGUGGCGAAGGCGGUCUACUGGGCACCAACUGACGCUGAGGCUCGAAAGCAUGGGUAGCAAACAGGAUUAGAUACCCUGGUAGUCCAUGCCGUAAACGAUGAUUACUAGGUGUUG